GCCUGGGUGGCUCAGUCGGUUGAGCGUCCGACGUUGGCUCAGGUCAUGAUCUCGCAGUUCGUGGGUUCGAACCCCGCAUCAGGUU
rfam:Felis catus isolate Cinnamon breed Abyssinian chromosome D2, whole genome shotgun sequence.